GUGUUGCAUGGCUGUCGUCAGCUCGUGUCGUGAGAUGUUGGGUUAAGUCCCGCAACGAGCGCAACCCUCAUCCUUAGUUGCCACCAGGUAAUGCUGAGUACUUUAAGGAAACUGCCAGUGAUAAGCUGGAGGAAGGUGGGGAUGAUGUCAAGUCAUCAUGGCCUUUAUGGAGUGGGCUACACACGUGCUACAAUGGUGUCUACAAUGGGUUGCAAGGUGCGCAAGCCUAAGCUAAUCCCUAAAAGACAUCUCAGUUCGGAUUGUACUCUGCAACUCGAGUACAUGAAGUUGGAAUCGCUAGUAAUCGUGGAUCAGCAUGCCACGGUGAAUACGUUCUCGGG
rnacentral:rRNA from 1 species